ensembl:snRNA U6 U6 spliceosomal RNA
GUGCUCGCUCCAGCAGCACAUAUUACUAAAAUUGGAGCGAUGCAGAUCUAGAUUAGCAUGGCCCCUGAGCAAGGAUGACACGCAAAUUCGCGAAGCAUUCCAUAUUUUU